UGGGGAAUAUUGCACAAUGGGGGAAACCCUGAUGCAGCAACGCCGCGUGGGUGAAGAAGUAUUUCGGUAUGUAAAGCCCUAUCAGCAGGGAAGAAGGAAGACGGUACCUGACUAAGAAGCCCCGGCUAACUACGUGCCAGCAGCCGCGGUAAUACGUAGGGGGCGAGCGUUAUCCGGAUUUACUGGGUGUAAAGGGAGCGUAGACGGUUAAGCAAGUCUGAAGUGAAAGCCCGCGGCUCAACCGCGGAACGGCUUUGGAAACUGCGUGGCUAGAGUGCUGGAGAGGUAAGUGGAAUUCCUAGUGUAGCGGUGAAAUGCGUAGAUAUUAGGAGGAACACCAGUGGCGAAGGCGGCUUACUGGACAGUGACUGACGUUGAGGCUCGAAAGCGUGGGGAGCAAACAGGAUUAGAUACC
rnacentral:rRNA from 1 species